GAGUUUGAUCCUGGCUCAGGGCGAACGCUGGCGGCGCGCCUAACACAUGCAAGUCGAACGAGCGAGAGAGAGCUUGCUUUCUCGAGCGAGUGGCGAACGGGUGAGUAACGCGUGAGGAACCUGCCUCAAAGAGGGGGACAACAGUUGGAAACGACUGCUAAUACCGCAUAAGCCCACAGCUCGGCAUCGAGCAGAGGGAAAAGGAGCAAUCCGCUUUGAGAUGGCCUCGCGUCCGAUUAGCUAGUUGGUGAGGUAACGGCCCACCAAGGCGACGAUCGGUAGCCGGACUGAGAGGUUGAACGGCCACAUUGGGACUGAGACACGGCCCAGACUCCUACGGGAGGCAGCAGUGGGGAAUAUUGCACAAUGGGGGAAACCCUGAUGCAGCGACGCCGCGUGGAGGAAGAAGGUCUUCGGAUUGUAAACUCCUGUUGUUGAGGAAGAUAAUGACGGUACUCAACAAGGAAGUGACGGCUAACUACGUGCCAGCAGCCGCGGUAAAACGUAGGUCACAAGCGUUGUCCGGAAUUACUGGGUGUAAAGGGAGCGCAGGCGGGAAGGCAAGUUGGAAGUGAAAUCCAUGGGCUCAACCCAUGAACUGCUUUCAAAACUGUUUUUCUUGAGUAGUGCAGAGGUAGGCGGAAUUCCCGGUGUAGCAGUGGAAUGCGUAGAUAUCGGGAGGAACACCAGUGGCGAAGGCGGCCUACUGGGCACCAACUGAUGCUGAGGCUCGAAAGUGUGGGUAGCAAACAGGAUUAGAUACCCUGGUAGUCCACACUGUAAACGAUGAUUACUAGGUGUUGGAGGAUUGACCCCUUCAGUGCCGCAGUUAACACAAUAAGUAAUCCACCUGGGGAGUACGACCGCAAGGUUGAAACUCAAAGGAAUUGACGGGGGCCCGCACAAGCAGUGGAGUAUGUGGUUUAAUUCGACGCAACGCGAAGAACCUUACCAAGUCUUGACAUCCUGCGACGCACAUAGAAAUAUGUGUUUCCUUCGGGACGCAGAGACAGGUGGUGCAUGGUUGUCGUCAGCUCGUGUCGUGAGAUGUUGGGUUAAGUCCCGCAACGAGCGCAACCCUUAUGGUCAGUUACUACGCAAGAGGACUCUGGCCAGACUGCCGUUGACAAAACGGAGGAAGGUGGGGAUGACGUCAAAUCAUCAUGCCCUUUAUGACUUGGGCUACACACGUACUACAAUGGCGUUAAACAAAGAGAAGCAAGACCGCGAGGUGGAGCAAAACUCAGAAACAACGUCCCAGUUCGGACUGCAGGCUGCAACUCGCCUGCACGAAGUCGGAAUUGCUAGUAAUCGCAGAUCGGCAUGCUGCGGUGAAUACGUUCCCGGGCCUUGUACACACCGCCCGUC
rnacentral:rRNA from 1 species